rnacentral:rRNA from 1 species
GUUUGAUCCUGGCUCAGGACGAACGCUGGCGGUGUGCUUAACACAUGCAAGUGGAGCGACGAACCAGAGCUUGCUCUGGGGCAGAGCCGCGAACGGGUGAGUAACACGUGGGUAACGUACCCCGAUUACCGGGACAACCCGAGGAAACUCGGGCUAAUACCGGAUGUGCUCCCUCCCCAUGAGGGGAGUGAGUAAAGGAAGCUUCGGCCUCCGAAUCGGGAGCGGCCCGCGGCCCAUUAGUUUGUUGGUGGGGGUAACGGCCUACCAAGACUGCGAUGGGUAGCUGGUCUGAGAGGACGAUCAGCCACACUGGGACUGAGACACGGUCCAGACUCCUACGGGAGGCAGCAGUGGGGAAUCUUGCACAAUGCGCGAAAGCGUGAUCCCAGCAAUACCGCGUGAGUGAAGACGGCCUUCGGGUUGUAAAGCUCUUUCGGACAGAAAGAAAUCGUGCAGAUUAAUACUCUGUAUGGAUGACGGUACUGUAAGAAGAAGCACCGGCUAACUACGUGCCAGCAGCCGCGGUAAUACGUAGGGUGCGAGCGUUAAUCGGAAUUACUGGGCGUAAAGCGUGCGCAGGCGGUUUUGUAAGACAGGUGUGAAAUCCCCGGGCUUAACCUGGGAACUGCAUUUGUGACUGCAAGGCUAGAGUGUAGCAGAGGGGGGUAGAAUUCCACGUGUAGCAGUGAAAUGCGUAGAGAUGUGGAGGAAUACCGAUGGCGAAGGCAGCCCCCUGGGUUAACACUGACGUUCAUGCACGAAAGCGUGGGGAGCAAACAGGAUUAGAUACCCUGGUAGUCCACGCCCUAAACGAUGUCAACUAGGUGUUGGGGAAGGAGACUUCUUUAGUACCGCAGCUAACGCGAUAAGUUGACCGCCUGGGGAGUACGGUCGCAAGAUUAAAACUCAAAGGAAUUGACGG